rnacentral:rRNA from 1 species
GGAUGGGGCCGCGACCGAUCAGGUUGUUGGUGAGGCAACGGCUCACCAAGCCGUUGACCGGUGCGGGCCGUGGGAGCGGGAGCCCGGAGAUGGGCACUGAGACAAGGGCCCAGGCCCUACGGGGCGCAGCAGUCGCGCAAACUUUGCAAUACACGAAAGUGUGACAGGGCUAUCCCGAGUGCCGUCCGCUGAGGAUGGCUUUUACCCAGUCUAGAACGCUGGGGGAAUAAGGAGAGGGCAAGUCUGGUGUCAGCCGCCACGGUAAUACCAGCUCUCCGAGUGGUGUGGAUGUUUAUUGGGCCUAAAGCAUCCGUAGCUGGCCAAGUUAGUCCCUUGUUAAACCCACCGGAUUAAUCGUUGGCGUGCGGGGGAUACUGCUCGGCUAGGGGACGAGAGAGGCAGACGGUAUUCUCGGGGUAGGGGUGAAAUCCUAUAAUCCCGAGAAGACCACCAGUGGCGAAGGCUGUCUGCUAGAACGCGCCCGACGGUGAGGGAUGAAAGCUGGGGGAGCGAACCGGAUUAGAUACCCGGGUAGUCCCAGCUGUAAACGAUGCAGGCUAGGUGUUUGGACGGCCACGUGCCGUUCUAGUGCCGCAGGGAAGCUGUUAAGCCUGCCGCCUGGGGAGUACGGUCGCAAGAUUGAAACUUAAAGGAAUUGGCGGGGGAGCACCACAAGGGGUGAAGCUUGCGGUUUAAUUGGAGCAACGCCGGAAAUCUUACCGGGAGCGACAGCAGUUUGAAGGCCAGAUUAAAGGUCUUGCCAGACGAGCCGAGAGGAGGUGCAUGGCCGUCGCCAGUUCGUGCCGUGAGGUGUCCUGUUAAGUCAGGCAACGAUCGAGACCCGCGUCCUCUGUUGCAACCAGCCUUGAGCUGGGCACACUGAGGAGACCGCCACUGAUAAAGUGGAGGAAGGAGCGGGCCACGGCAGGUCAGUAUGCCCCGAAUCUCCCGGGCCACACGCGAGCUGCAAUGGCAGGUACAAUGGGUUCCGACCUCGAAAGGGGAAGGCAAUCUCGAAAGCCUGCCGUAGUUGGGAUUGAGGGUUGUAACCCAUCCUCAUGAACAUGGAAUCCCUAGUAAUCGCGUGUCAUUAGCGCGCGGUGAAUACGUCCCUGCUCCUUGCACACACCGCCCGUCGUUCCACCCGAGCGACUCUUGGGUGAGGCGUGGUCUUUGUUGGCUGCGUCGAAUCUUAGUUUUGUAAGGGGGGAAAAGUCGUAACAAGGUG